UACGUAGGGUCCGAGCGUUAAUCGGAAUUACUGGGCGUAAAGCGCGCGCAGGCGGUUUUGUAAGCCAGAUGUGAAAUCCCCGGGCUUAACCUGGGAACUGCAUUUGGGACUGCAAGGCUUGAGUACGGCAGAGGGGGGUAGAAUUCCUGGUGUAGCAGUGAAAUGCGUAGAUAUCAGGAGGAAUACCGAUGGCGAAGGCAGCCCCCUGGGUCGAUACUGACGCUCAUGCACGAAAGCGUGGGGAGCAAACAGG
rnacentral:rRNA from 1 species